rnacentral:tRNA from 1 species
UGGGAUGUAGCUCAGUGUUAGAGCACUUGCCUAGCAUGUAUGAGGUCCUGGGUUCAAUCUCCAGCACUAAAA